AUGGCUCAGGACGAACGCUGGCGGCGUGCUUAACACAUGCAAGUCGAACGGGAGUAUUGAAGAAGCUUGCUUAGAGAUACUUUAGUGGCGGACGGGUGAGUAACGCGUGAGGAGCUGUCCUAUGCAGGGGGACAACAGCUGGAAACGGCUGCUAAUACCCCAUAAGCCGAGAGGUAAAAGGAUCAAUCCGGCAGAGGAGGUACUCGCGUCCUAUCAGCUAGUAGGUGAGGUAACGGCUCACCUAGGCGAAGACGGGUAGCCGGCCUGAGAGGGCGAACGGCCACACUGGAACUGAGAUACGGUCCAGACUCCUACGGGAGGCAGCAGUGGGGAAUAUUGGGCAAUGGGGGGAAAAACCCCCUGACCCAGCGACGCCGCGUGGGUGAAGAAAUCCUUCGGGAUGUAAAGCCCUGUUGUAUGGGAAGGGCGGAAGACGGUACCAUACGAGGAAGCCCCGGCAAACUACGUGCCAGCCGCAGC
rnacentral:rRNA from 1 species